UUAUCCGGAUUUAUUGGGUUUAAAGGGAGCGUAGGCGGGUGCUUAAGUCAGUUGUGAAAGUAUGCGGCUCAACCGUAAAAUUGCAGUUGAUACUGGGUACCUUGAGUGCAGCAUAGGUAGGCGGAAUUCGUGGUGUAGCGGUGAAAUGCUUAGAUAUCACGAAGAACUCCGAUUGCGAAGGCAGCUUACUGGACUGUAACUGACGCUGAUGCUCGAAAGUGUGGGUAUCAAACAGGAUUAGAUACCCUGGUAGUCCACACAGUAAACGAUGAAUACUCGCUGUUGGCGAUACACAGUCAGCGGCCAAGCGAAAGCAUUAAGUAUUCCACCUGGGGAGUACGCCGGCAACGGUGAAACUCAAAGGAAUUGACGGGGGCCCGCACAAGCGGAGGAACAUGUGGUUUAAUUC
rnacentral:rRNA from 1 species